rnacentral:tRNA from 2 species
AGUCUUGUAGUCAAAAAUGAUAUCAAAUUGCAAGUUUGAUGGUGGAGUUAUCCUAAGGCUU